GUCCACGCCGUAAACGAUGAAUGCCAGCCGUUAGGCAGCUUGCUGCUUAGUGGCGCAGCUAACGCUUUAAGCAUUCCGCCUGGGGAGUACGGUCGCAAGAUUAAAACUCAAAGGAAUUGACGGGGGCCCCGCACAAGCGGUGGAGCAUGUGGUUUAAUUCGACGCAACGCGCAGAACCUUACCAGCUUUUGACAUGCCCUGGACGGAUACCAGAGAUGGUUUCUUCUCUUCGGAGCCGGGGACACAGGUGCUGCAUGGCUGUCGU
rnacentral:rRNA from 1 species